rnacentral:rRNA from 1 species
GAUGAACGCUAGCUACAGGCUUAACACAUGCAAGUCGAGGGGAAACGACAUCGAAAGCUUGCUUUUGAUGGGCGUCGACCGGCGCACGGGUGAGUAACGCGUAUCCAACCUGCCCAUCACUUGGGAAUAACCUUGCGAAAGUAAGACUAAUACCCAAUGAUAUCCCACGAAGGCAUCGGAAUGGGAUUAAAGAUUUAUCGGUGAUGGAUGGGGAUGCGUCUGAUUAGCUUGUUGGCGGGGUAACGGCCCACCAAGGCAACGAUCAGUAGGGGUUCUGAGAGGAAGGUCCCCGACAUUGGAACUGAGACACGGUCCAAACUCCUACGGGAGGCAGCAGUGAGGAAUAUUGGUCAAUGGGCGAGAGCCUGAACCAGCCAAGUAGCGUGCAGGAAGACGGCCCUAUGGGUGGUAAACUGCUUUUAUAAGGGAAUAAAGUGGGUCACGUGUGACUUUUUGCAUGUACCUUAUGAAUAAGGACCGGCUAAUUCCGUG